CUUUAAUGAUGACUCUAUCCCGAACCUGACUUCAUAUCUGAUUGACAGUCUUAUAUGGAUCUGACUUCUGAAUC
rnacentral:snoRNA from 1 species